ensembl:lncRNA
AUUCAUUCCCACAACAUGCACAUAACCUGGUCACCAUUACUUUUAUUGUCACAUUAGAAGAAGAACCUAGCAGCCAAUCACAUGACUCGCUGGACUUGACAUCAUCAAACAGAAGCAAAGUUUUGGCCCUGCAGUGGACUGACCAGACAUCCAGGUUAUGGGCCCUCAUCCAAAUGAUAGGCUCCAGCAACCACUGCGAAGAGGUAAAAAGGUUUGGAAAAUGGAUAAGUGCGUGGAUGGACGGACGGACGGACGGACGGUUUGGGUUUCUUCGUAUUAGUUUCUUUGCUUCCAUUAUGUCACCGUCAUGAUUUGAGUUCUGCUUCCUGUUUUAUUUUGAAAGGUUUCCUGUUUUGUCAUGCUUUUGAGUUUUACUUCCCUGGUCCCAAUCUCUCCUGAUCAUGUUCACCUGUGUCUUGUCAGUGCUGUUUGUAUUUAAGUCUUGUCUCUGCCUUCCUCUUGUCCAUUGUCGUCUCUUCCCUUCUGCCAUGUGUUCAUGCUAUGCCCACAAUAAGUUAAGUUUUGUUUUCCUGCUCUGCAGGGAUUUUUGUUAGUUGAAUAAACCCCUUGCCCUGGAACCGUGUGCCUCCUGUCUCUGCAUUUCGGGUCCUUCACGCUCACAAGCCCCCCCAACCUGACAGGAUGAAUGGAGACAUAGAUGGAUUAAUAGGUGGAUGGAUGGAUGAAAGGUUGGGUGCUUUGAUGGUUAAAUAUAUGGGUGGGUGGAUUGGUUAAUAGAUGUAUUGAAUUUUGGAUGGAUUAAUAAGAAAUAUUUAGAAAUAGAUCAAUAAUCAAUUGGAUGAAAGGGGUGAUGGAUGGAUGGAUGGAAAAUAGAUGGAUGGAUUGAUGGAUGGACGGACAAACGUGGAAGACGGAUGGGUGGUUUAAUCGAUGGAUUAAUGGAGGAUGAGUGGAUAAAUUGAUGGAAGGGGUCAUUUGUUUUGUUUACUGUAAACAUCUAAAACACAUUUCAGCUCCAUAACUUUGCAUGUUUUGAAACGGUGCUAAACCGCCACCAGUGUAUGAAUGUGUGUGUGACUGUAAAGGGCUUUGUCUUUGUAGGAAGAAAGGCGCUAUAUAAGUAUACGCCAAACAGUUUUGUUGAUUUUCCUGUUACUGGUUUAAUUUCUUUAUUAUUAUUAUAAUUCUUUUAUUUUUACUAUUUAAUUAUCACUGAAAUCCACAGAAAGAAUUAAAGAAUCUUUGAAAACUUUGCUUUAGUUUUACGGUGAGCGAUAAACCGAAUGUGGAAUUGGGAAUGGACCAGGUUGACCAGCCAUCAGUAGCUGGGAUAGGCUCCAGCAACACUCUUACUCUGUUCAAACUUUGGCGUGAAAGCAGCAGCUCCUCCUUCCUCCUCUUUCUGAUGUCUGAACUCUGGAUCUUCCCGUUUCCCUCCUGACUCUCUGAACGCUGGAGGCCGUCUUACUAACCGCCGCCCCCCCCCCCCCCCCCAUCCAUCUCAACCCCACACUUUGAUUCGAUGCCUUUAAUAAAAGAUGACGUUUCUGCUCCUCGCCUCAUUUCUCGUGUCUUUGCUCCCUGACUUCCACUUAUCUCACAAAAACAUUAGUCUUUUGUCCGGCCGGCGGGAUGAAUGAAGGCCUCGUCUGCACUCAAACAUGGAUCAUAGCAGCAGAGCGGCUGAUUACAUUCAGACAACACAAGCGUCUCGGCGA